UAGGGUGUGGCUGAGUGGUAGAGCGCUUGCCUAGCACACAUGAGGCCCUGGUUUCCAUCCCCAGCACCGUAA
rnacentral:tRNA from 1 species